rnacentral:rRNA from 1 species
UACGUAGGGUGCAAGCGUUGUCCGGAAUUAUUGGGCGUAAAGAGCUCGUAGGCGGUCUGUCGCGUCUGCUGUGAAAACUCGAGGCUCAACUUCGAGACGCCGGUGGAAACCAUCAGACUAGAGUCCGGAAGAGGAGAGUGGAAUUCCUGGUGUAGCGGUGAAAUGCGCAGAUAUCAGGAAGAACACCCGUGGCUAAGGCGGCUCUCUAGUACGGUACUGACGCUGAGACGCGAAAGCGUGGGGAGCGAACAGG